AUGUUCAUCUCGAAGAAAUCAUCGCGUGAGGUACAGUGGCACAAGCUGAAGCGGCAACCUGUGGACAAUGAGCUGAGCCAUCCAGCGGACGGAGAGGCAUGGAAAGAGUUUGACCGUAUACUUUUAGAUUUUGCUGCAGCUCCAAGGAACAUAAAACUUGGCAUUGCCACAGAUGGGUUUAAUCCGUUUGGUAACAUGAGCACGUCUUAUAGCAUGUGGCCAGUUUUUGUGGUGCCGUACAACCUGCCACCAUGGGCGUGCAUGGAUCAGUCCAACUUCAUGAUGUCAUUGCUUAUCCCGGGUCCAGAGUCUCCAGGAAAGGAUUCUGAUGUCUUUAUGGAGCCCCUCAUAGAAGAACUGCUCCAUCUCUGGACUGGUGUACCUACAUACAAUGCCUUGAGUCCAGAAGAAAAGUUCAAUCUACGUGCUGCAAUCAUAUGGUCCAUCCAUGAUUUCCCGGCUCUACACACUCUGUCUGGGAGGAUCACAGCGGGUUAUAAGGCCUGUGUCCAUUGUGACAAAGACCCUUGCUCAAAGAGAAUGAGCAAGAUCUGCUAUAUUGGGCACCACCGCUUUCUUCCCCGAAACCAUCGCUGGCGAAGAAGCAAAGUUUUUAAUGGUGAGAAUGAAACCCGUGACAAGCCAGCUGAAUUCACUAAAGAAGAGCUGGAGCAGCAACUUGAAAAGGUGAAAGAUGUGAGACCAGGAAAGCUUGCGAAGAAAAGAAAGCGUGAGGAAGGUCAAUGUUGGGACCGGAGGUCUUGUUUGUGGGACCUGCCAUACCGGGCUGAUCUGAAAUUAAGGCAUAAUAUCGGUGUAAUGCACAUUGAGAAAAACAUAUGCGAGAAUCUGCUAGGGACAUUUCUAAACAUUGAAGGGAAGACAAAGGACACGGUUAGUUCUAGGCUUGAUUUGGAGGACAUGGGCAUAAGAGAAGAUUUGCAUCUACAACACAAUGAAGAUGAAGAUUCAUUUGAAAUGCCACGAGCAUGGUAUACAAUGAGUAAAGAACAAAAGCUUGCAUUCUGUGAAUUCCUAAGAGCGGUGAAAUUUCCAGAUGGUUAUGCUGCUAACCUAGCAAAGUGUGUUACUUCUGAUGGAUUCAAGAUUUCAGUACUGAAAACCCAUGGUUGUCACAUCCUCCUCCAAAGUAUUUUACCGACGGGCCUCCGAGGAAUCAUGGACAAGGAUAUAUAUGAAGCGGUUGCUGAGCUGGGAAAUUUCUUUAGAGAACUGUGCUGCAAAACACUCAAGUUAACUGUCCUGGAAAGACUUGAAAAAUAA
rnacentral:rRNA from 1 species